UCUACAACGCCGGAGCGCUGGCAACAUUUGACGAGUUAUUCUUUUCUGUUUACUUUUCGCAGAUCAUUCCAAGGCAUCCCUCCUGUGCCUUCGCAAAUCGCGCCUUUUGCAGACACCAACUAUUUUGUUUGCUGCGUUUGCAGGUGCGUUCAGAGAAAACACAACAACGUGGGAGCCGCUGAGACCCUCCGGCUGUGUUUCUUUUUUGAGAUGGAAAACGUCUCUACAAAGGAGCAGCUCCGAGUGACACCACGCGAGUGGCGGGGUCACAUCUCCCCGGGGAGAUGGCGGGUACAUCCCUGAGCGCUCUCACAGGAAACACAGACGGCCUUGGGAAACUGGUUUUCUGCUGAGAAAACUGCACUGUGGGAGCUCUUGGAGAGGAUCUCGCAUCAACACGGAAAAGGUAGGAAGUCUUGGGAAAAAAAGGGGCUCAUUCUCAUCUCUUCCACCAGCAGAACAAGGUGAAUGUCUCAGGUUUUGGUUGGGAGGGGUGGGGAUCGCUGCCAAUUUCUACCUCUGUGGCCUGGCAAGGGUUUGCCACCCUGAAGGAAAACCUGAGAGUCAAGGGACUUAAACCAUUCAGUGUGCUGGAGAAGCAGGAAGAAAACAGACAGGAAAAUUAUUACUACUGCAGAACGGGGCAGAACUGCAGGCAGGCGUGAAGCAGAAGAGAAUCUGUCUCUCUUUAACGGGUCCCUAUUUAACAUCUAGGAGUAACUAGUGCAACAAAUGGACAUUGCUUUUGCGGUUCACCUUUGCUCUAGAGCUUUGCUUUACAACAACACAUGGCUAAAGCAACGGACGGACUGAGCUGGAUUGCGGCUACUGGGAAAAGUCCUGUGCCUGGCUGCUGGGAUUGCUCUCGCUGCCCAGCUCUUUGAUUUGAAGGAGGUCGAAAAGGUCUUGUGGGCUCCAAUUACCCUUUGGCAUCUUCACAUCCUGCAGCAAACCCAGCUGCUUUAGCAGGGGGAAGCCCCGCUCUUUCUCCGUCAAUUCCAGCAGCUGCUUCAUCAAGCUUGAAGUCUCGUCUCUGCUGACGCUGUUGUAGAGAGUGGAGGGAUCUGGGCUCUUCUGCGCAUCCCACAUGGCGUCUGAAAGCGAAAUAUCCCGGCUGCUGGCGGUGUGCACACUGCCCAGGGCGUUGUGGAGCCACAUCAGGCGCUUCAGCCCUUGGAAUGCUCUCGCUUUGUCGUGCAUGAACUGGUGCUCCGUCACGGCUCGUUUACUGCAGCGGGAAGAGGGAGCGAGUUAGGAAACAUGCACGGCGAGAUCUAAACUAUUUCAAACGUGGCUGAUUUGCCUUCGUCAAGCUGAGAUGCUUCUCUAAGCUGAGGAAGGAGUGUUGCUGGUGUGUAGACAUGAUGUGGAGGGCAGCCCCAGCUCUUACAGAGAUUUGGGCUUUCAAAAAUUUGAGUUCCUUUCAGAGGUUUAAAUUCCCUUUUCAUAACCUUAGUGUUCUAGGAUUUGUGGGUUUGGUUCAUUCCUUCCAGAGCUGUAUGUCAGGGGUAAUUUAACUGAAAUCAGUGGUGUGCAUGUAAUGAAAACAAAGCUUUAUUUUCUUCAGAAAUACCAAAAAAUUUUGAGCCAAAUGUUGACGGGGGAGGGAAGGCCAGUUCUGGGAUGCAAAUAUUUCUGGAUUUCGGGCUGUUCAGAUAACAGCUGACUGCAGCUAUGGGCUCCCGUUGGAGGUUUGGGUCUGAAUGGGAACCUAAAUAUGGAAUUUCAGUAUGUGUAUUUUGGUGGCUUGCGUUGAGCAUCCUUACAUGGUUUGCUACGCUGUGUUUAAAAGCGUCAGCUGAAAUGUGGUAUCCGUCAUGCAUCUAAAAAUGCAACUGGUCUAAUUUUAUACUGCAUAGAAGGUGAUGUAAAAUGUUGUUAUAUCAAAUGUAUAGAAUGUUCCUUCUGCCAAGCCCUGGAGUAAAGGACAGCAGCAGAGAAUACAGCCCCUCGAAUCAAAGGCAAGCACUCUUCUAAUGGUAUUAAGUAAAAGGAUGAUAUUGCUUA